rnacentral:sRNA from 1 species
CAAUAGCCCUGAUGGAAAUGAAAAUCCCGAGCUCUUGCUAAAGAGCGAGGAUUGUAAUGUACAGCAGGACUGAAA